rnacentral:lncRNA from 1 species
GAUUUCUUUAAGCUCAUUUUCAAUUUUCUCAAAGUUGGCCUCCAAAUCAAUCAUGUCACGUGGAAAUGGCACCUCUGGGUUUUCACCCGUGUCCAUGAUAGGAAUAUUUGCUUUUUUGAUCUCCUUUUCAACAAAUCUGAGCUUUCGGUCCAUUUCUUCACACCUCCUGACUUCAUUAACAAAUUUACGCUGGAAGACAUUCACGUCCGGGUUCAGGUCGCGGAACUGCACCUUCCCCAGCUCGCCCAGUUCGCUGACACAGCAGUACGCGGCUUCAGACUGCAGGAAAAGCUGAGCCAGGGUCAUCUCCUCGCUGCGGAACAGCUCCCCCAUGGCGGCGCCGUGCCCACCGCGGCCUCUGCCGCAGUGUCCGCACCGCUCCGACCCGCACCGUCUCG